rnacentral:rRNA from 1 species
CAAGUCGAACGAUGAAGCUUCUAGCUUGCUAGAAGUGGAUUAGUGGCGCACGGGUGAGUAAGGUAUAGUUAAUCUGCCCUACACAAGAGGACAACAGUUGGAAACGACUGCUAAUACUCUAUACUCCUGCUUAACACAAGUUGAGUAGGGAAAGUUUUUCGGUGUAGGAUGAGACUAUAUAGUAUCAGCUAGUUGGUAAGGUAAUGGCUUACCAAGGCUAUGACGCUUAACUGGUCUGAGAGGAUGAUCAGUCACACUGGAACUGAGACACGGUCCAGACUCCUACGGGAGGCAGCAGUAGGGAAUAUUGCGCAAUGGGGGAAACCCUGACGCAGCAACGCCGCGUGGAGGAUGACACUUUUCGGAGCGUAAACUCCUUUUCUUAGGGAAGAAUUCUGACGGUACCUAAGGAAUAAGCACCGGCUAACUCCGUGCCAGCAGCCGCGGUAAUACGGAGGGUGCAAGCGUUACUCGGAAUCACUGGGCGUAAAGGGCGCGUAGGCGGAUUAUCAAGUCUCUUGUGAAAUCUAAUGGCUUAACCAUUAAACUGCUUGGGAAACUGAUAGUCUAGAGUGAGGGAGAGGCAGAUGGAAUUGGUGGUGUAGGCGUAAAAUCCGUAGAUAUCACCAAGAAUACCCAUUGCGAAGGCGAUCUGCUGGAACUCAACUGACGCUAAGGCGCGAAAGCGUGGGGAGCAAACAGGAUUAGAUACCCUGGUAGUCCACGCCCUAAACGAUGUACACUAGUUGUUGGGGUGCUAGUCAUCUCAGUAAUGCAGCUAACGCAUUAAGUGUACCGCCUGGGGAGUACGGUCGCAAGAUUAAAACUCAAAGGAAUAGACGGGGACCCGCACAAGCGGUGGAGCAUGUGGUUUAAUUCGAAGAUACGCGAAGAACCUUACCUGGGCUUGAUAUCCUAAGAACCUUAUAGAGAUAAGAGGGUGCUAGCUUGCUAGAACUUAGAGACAGGUGCUGCACGGCUGUCGUCAGCUCGUGUCGUGAGAUGUUGGGUUAAGUCCCGCAACGAGCGCAACCCACGUAUUUAGUUGCUAACGGUUCGGCCGAGCACUCUAAAUAGACUGCCUUCGUAAGGAGGAGGAAGGUGUGGACGACGUCAAGUCAUCAUGGCCCUUAUGCCCAGGGCGACACACGUGCUACAAUGGCAUAUACAAUGAGACGCAAUACCGCGAGGUGGAGCAAAUCUAUAAAAUAUGUCCCAGUUCGGAUUGUUCUCUGCAACUCGAGAGCAUGAAGCCGGAAUCGCUAGUAAUCGUAGAUCAGCCAUGCUACGGUGAAUACGUUCCCGGGUCUUGUACUCACCGCCCGUCACACCAUGGGAGUUGAUUUCACUCGAAGCCGGAAUACUAAACU